UACGUAGGGGGCUAGCGUUGUUCGGAAUCACUGGGCGUAAAGCGCACGUAGGCGGAUCUUUAAGUCAGAGGUGAAAUCCCAAGGCUCAACCUUGGAACUGCCUUUGAUACUGGGGAUCUUGAGUCCGGGAGAGGUGAGUGGAACUGCGAGUGUAGAGGUGAAAUUCGUAGAUAUUCGCAAGAACACCAGUGGCGAAGGCGGCUCACUGGCCCGGUACUGACGCUGAGGUGCGAAAGCGUGGGGAGCAAACAGG
rnacentral:rRNA from 1 species